rnacentral:rRNA from 1 species
CAGUAGCCGCGGGAAUACGGAGGGUGCAAGCGUUAAUCGGAAUUACUGGGCGUAAAGCGCACGCAGGCGGUCUGACAAGUCAGAUGUGAAAUCCCCGGGCUUAACCUGGGAACUGCAUUUGAAACUGUCAGGCUGGAGUCUUGUAGAGGGGGGUGGAAUUCCAGGUGUAGCGGUGAAAUGCGUAGAGAUCUGGAGGAAUACCGAUGGCGAAGGCAGCCAUCUGGCCUAAUACUGACGCUGAGGUACGAAAGCAUGGGGAGCAAACAGGAUUAGAUACCCGCGUAGUCCCUGUCUCUUAUAC